rnacentral:lncRNA from 1 species
ACAUAUGAACCCAGAGAGGACAUGGCAGCAUGCAUAUGCCCUUAACAGGUUCAAGCCAGAUGGGCUCACAGCACUGAGAUGGAGAACUGAACACAGGGGCCCACCCAGAGCCAAGAAACUAUUUGCAAUUGAUACCCACUGCCAAAGGGAAAAUCAGUUUUCUCUAAAGGAGUGUCAACCACACUCCAGGACAGACUCCAUUCCCAGGAGUUCACACAAAAUGGACUCCAAAGAUCAUAACCUUGGUUCAGCCCCAUAAGAAGACCGCAGACAGUGUGGAGCACCCCAAGUUCAGAGGAACAUUGACACCUUGGAAGCCGUCCAGAAGGGAACCGCAAAGCUGAGUUACAGGCUGUGAAGACUGGAGCAGUGGAGAGAGAUUUUCCACGAGGAUGCUCAGAUGAAGAGUGGCGACCCCGAGGUACGGAUGGCUCUACAGAACACAAAAAUCCAUGAGGCCUGGAGGAGCAACAGCUGCUGCGGAGGUCACUGCAGACCUCCUUUACUGUGACCUCUCCUUCCCCCAGUUCCUUCACAGCCAGUUGGAACAAGGGCAACAUGGGCCAGACCAUUGGAUCUAAAUUUGAAAGUCAAAUGAAAAUAGAGGCCAGUUUUUCCCAAAGCAGGUAAUGUUAGUGUUUAUUGUUCAGAAGCCAUCUGAAGAGAUCUGUGGAUUCUAAAAGGGGGAAGAAAUGAAGGCAAUGUCUGGGAGACAGCAGCUUUUCAUGUACUGCUCAGAAGUAUCCCAUGACCCAGAAGAACCACAUAAGCAUCAUCUGCUGCCCACAGAGUAAUGACC